UCUUGAUGGUAGUGUAUUGGACUACCAUGGCGAUCACGGGUAACGGAGAAUUAGGGUUCGAUUCCGGAGAGGGAGCCUGAGAAACGGCUACCACUUCUAAGGAAGGCAGCAGGCGCGUAAAUUACCCAAUCCUGACUUAGGGAGGUAGUGACAAGAAAUAACGACUCGGGACUUACAAAGUUUACGAGAUUGUAAUGAAAACAAUUUAAAACACUCAAUGAGGAACAAUUGGAGGGCAAGUCUGGUGCCAGCAGCCGCGGUAAUUCCAGCUCCAAUAGCGUAUAUUAAAGUUGUUGCAGUUAAAAAGCUCGUAGUUGAACUUCUGCCAGGCCGCCGACCUUUCAGGUUUGUUGUGGCUUUGGCAUCCCCUUUGAGAUCAGGGUACGUUCUUUGGUGAUCGGCUCUGAAAUCAAGGAUUUUACUUUGAAAAAAUUAGAGUGUUUCAAGCAGGCCUGUGCUGGAAUACAUUAGCAUGGAAUAAUAGAAGAUGACUUCGGACAUUUUGUUGGUUAUUGUCAGAAGUAAUGAUUAACAGGGACGGUUGGGGCCAUUAGUAUUUAAUUGUCAGAGGUGAGGUUCAUAGAUUAAUUAAAGACUAACUUAUGCGAAAGCGUUUGCUGAGGAUGUUUUCAUGAAUCAGAAGAGGAGUUAGGGGUCAGAAGACGUCGGAUAUGUCGGGGCGAUUCGU
rnacentral:rRNA from 1 species